rnacentral:rRNA from 1 species
AACGAACGCUGGCGGCAUGCCUAACACAUGCAAGUCGAACGAUCCCUUCGGGGAUAGUGGCGCACGGGUGCGUAACGCGUGGGAACCUGCCCUUAGGUUCGGAAUAACUCAGAGAAAUUUGAGCUAAUACCGGAUAAUGUCUUCGGACCAUAGAUUUAUCGCCUUUGGAUGGGCCCGCGUUGGAUUAGCUAGUUGGUGGGGUAAAGGCCUACCAAGGCGACGAUCCAUAGCUGGUCUGAGAGGAUGAUCAGCCACACUGGGACUGAGACACGGCCCAGACUCCUACGGGAGGCAGCAGUGGGGAAUAUUGGACAAUGGGCGAAAGCCUGAUCCAGCAAUGCCGCGUGAGUGAUGAAGGCCUUAGGGUUGUAAAGCUCUUUUACCCGGGAUGAUAAUGACAGUACCGGGAGAAUAAGCCCCGGCUAACUCCGUG